CUUUUCCUUCUUCAUGAAACUUUGGAGGAUAAGCUAAAACUCUAGUUUGAUUAUGUGGUUCAACCAAAGAGUAAGUCCGUUUCUUUAGACUUUUUGACAAAGGUACAUCAGACUCAUCAAGCUUGUCUUUGCUCUCAGAUGAAAUGUAGUCGGCUUUCGGAUUCACCUUUCUCCCUAAUUCUCCUGUUGAAGUCUGUGCGCUUAAUCUUGAUGCACCCUUCAUCCAAAUGGUACAAUAAACAAAAUGUCAGCUCAAAAACAGACUUUAUAAGAUAUAAUCACAGAGGAAAGAAACAAGUACCUGU
rnacentral:lncRNA from 1 species